rnacentral:rRNA from 1 species
AUUGAACGCUGGCGGCAGGCCUAACACAUGCAAGUCGAACGAGUGGCGGACGGGUGAGUUAUGUCUGUGACACUGCCUGAUGGAUGGGGAUCACUACUGGACACUGUAGCUAAUUCCGCCUACCAUCGGCUGUGCCCAGUUGGGAUUAGCUAGUGGGUGGGGUAAAGGCUCACCUAGGCGACGAUCCCUAGCUGGUCGGAGAGGAUGACCAGCCACACUGGAACUGAGACACGGUCCAGACUCCUACGGGAGGCAGCAGUGGGGAAUAUUGGACAAUGGGCGAAAGCCUGAUGCAGCCAUGCCGCGUGUAUGAAGAAGGUCUGCGGGUUGUAAAGUACUUUCAGCGGGGAGGCGUUACCAGCAGAAGAAGCACCGGCUAACUCCGUGCCAGCAGCCGCGGUAAUUC